rnacentral:lncRNA from 1 species
UCGGCCUCAAGAACGGAGUUCAGGUUGUCAGGGCCACAGAAAGGACUUCUAUUACUAAGCCGUAGUAAUAGACUCCAGCAGAGACUUCUUAACCACAACAGAUGCCACCCAGUAUUAUGAGGGAAGUAUCUCGUGGGAUUAAGACUUUAAUCUGCAGUCUAUAUCAUAUUCCAAGUGGUUACAGCCUCCCCCACCCCCUACUCUACACUGGGCCAGUCUAAAGUCCUACACUCUUAUCUGUCCAAUAUCAAACAUAGGAAGAAAACUGACAUCAUUUGUGUCUAACCAAACCUAGUAAAGAACUACAGAAAAGCAGGCACACACUGAGAAUGAGUAGCCAGUUACCCUAACGCUGCUCUGUGCUGACUUCUUCACUUGCAUAGUGACAGCAUGGGCUUCGUUGCUGAGAAGACAAGCUCUGGGUCCCACCUUCAGAUAGGAGAUGGUGGCGUAAGCCGUGAAGCUGUAGUCUUCUCUGGAAAAAAAAGAGCCACAGAAACUUGAAGGAGUCACAGAAAACAUUUAAAACAUCAAUAUAAAAUGGACCAUCUAGAGACUGCCAUAUCCAGGGAUCCAUCCCAAAAUCAGCUUCCAAACGCUGACACCAUUGCUUACACCAGCAAGAUUUUGCUGAAAGGACCCAGAUAAAGCUGUCUCUUGUGAGACUAUGCCGGGGCCUAGCAAACACAGAAGUGGAUGCUCACAGUCAGCUAUUGGAUGGAUCACAGGGCCCCCAAUGGAGGAGCUAGAGAAAUUACCCAAGGAGCUAAAGGGAUCUGCAAUCCUAUAGAUGGAACAACAAUAUGAACUAACCAGUACCCCCUGAGCUCGUGUCUCUAGCUGCAUAUAUAUCAGAAGAUGGCCUAGUCGGCCAUCACUGGGAAGAGAGGCCCAUUGGACUUGCAAACUUUAUAUGCCCCAGUACAGGGAGCACCAGGGCCAAGAAGUAGGAGUGGGAGGGUGGGGGAACGUGUGGGGGACUUUUGGGAUAGCAUUGGAAAUGUAACUGAAAUAAAUACCUAAACACACACACACUAGACCAGCACAGACACAAUCCUUAAAGGAAAUCGUGGGGUUUUUUGCUUUGUUUUAACGUUUUUGACUUUGUGAUCAAGGUCUAAGACUUGGGUGAACUGUUUCCUACAAUGCUUCACAUCAGAUAACUGCAGGGCAGUUCACUCUCCUCCAGUCCAGUGGGAGAAACAGGAGGACAGAAGACAAACGGGCUGUGUACUUGAGAUAUUGCUGCAGGAGGGCGUGGGCGACGAUUCUCUCCAGGUCUUCCCGGGGAAGGGCCGGGGCAACAACGCCAGCCACUCUCAACUUGGCUGCUCCCUUUCCCAUCCAAGCAUCAAUCAGCUUCAGCGGGGUCAGCUUUUCAUUCAGGCCUUCAGCCUGCUUCAGAAUCUUUAUCAGGUCCCGGCAGUGCUGUGUCACAUUCUUUUUCUCAAACGCUGCAAGGAGACAUGAUGGGCAACUGGGAUCCAAAGGUGAAGGCAGGAAGCCACCUCUGGUUAAACUGGCUCAGUUAGCACUAUGGCCGGGCCCCUUACACCCACUUUUUUUUAAUGUGCUCAGAAUUAAGACCAGAGUGUUUAAGGCUUUAUCACCAGAUCAAAUCCUGUUCCUAAAAUACACGUAGGGAUUGUAGUAAUGUAAAGAAAAUGACUUGACUAUCAAAGAAUGAAGUGUGCGCUGGUGUCUGCCAGAUGUCACUGGGAGGUGAGCACUGCAGGAAAAAGUGCUCUUCCCUUUCUUAUCUGAUUCUGCUCAUCACACAUGCUAUGAAAGCCAGUCUGGGCUCUAGAGAGCAUUCUAAGGACAAGUCCCCCAACACUAGACAUAGCAUCCUGACUUACACACUGGAUUCACGUCAGCUUGGUCUCUGUAAGACAGACUUUGAACUUGUAAAUCAGCAUCGUAGCUGUCAAGUUAAAAGUCCAGAGACUGAAGCAUCGAAACCCUGGUCAGCCCAGCUUCCCAGAACACAGCCCCAGGACGGGUUCCUGUACUGUGAUAAGCCACUGACCAAGAACAAAGACUAUAAAGUACUAGAGGCUGUCUUUCCUUAUGUAACAGUACUUCUAUUUACAGGAAUUCUAACUUCUUUAAAAAUGUGCUGCCCCUAGUUUAGCAAUAUAAAAUGUGACAUAC